rnacentral:rRNA from 1 species
AUGCUUCUAUUAUCGAUCUAGAGUUGGGAGCACUUGCCAGUGGGGCGGCCGACACCAAAGGGUUACGGCCCGUGGGAUGAUCAUGAUGACCCGGACCGUAUGCCUACAUGGGCGUACAAGUGGGACAAGGUUGAAGGUUUUGUUGGCAAUUCAAAGACCAUGUAUUUGCACUACUGCAACGAGCUUGACAUCAUGACCCCGGAGCAGGUUAUCUUUAGUAGCUUCUUGCUUUGUUUCUUCGGUUUCUUCGGUUUUCCAAAAAUCAUACUAACAGUGUAG